GGAAUAUUGGUCAAUGGACGGAAGUCUGAACCAGCCAUGUCGCGUGAAGGAUGAAGGUACUAUGUAUUGUAAACUUCUUUUGCCUGGGGGUAAAGUGGGUCACGUGUGGCCUAUUGCAAGUACCAGGCGAAUAAGCAUCGGCUAACUCCGUGCCAGCAGCCGCGGUAAUACGGAGGAUGCGAGCGUUAUCCGGAUUUAUUGGGUUUAAAGGGUGCGUAGGCGGGACGUCAAGUCAGCGGUGAAAUACUGUGGCUCAACCAUAGCAUUGCCGUUGAAACUGGCGACCUUGAGUGCGGCAGAGGUAGGCGGAAUGUGUGGUGUAGCGGUGAAAUGCUUAGAUAUCACACAGAACACCGAUUGCGAAGGCAGCUUACUGGAGCGCAACUGACGCUGAGGCACGAAAGCGUGGGUAUCGAACA
rnacentral:rRNA from 1 species